UACGAAGGGGGCUAGCGUUGCUCGGAAUCACUGGGCUUAAAGGGCGCGUAGGCGGUCAAACAAGUCAGGGGUGAAAUCCUGCAGCUCAACUGUAGAAGUGCCUCUGAUACUGUUUGCCUAGAGGGAGAUAGGGGUGUGCGGAACUUCCAGUGGAGCGGUGAAAUGCGUUGAUAUUGGAAGGAACGCCGGAGGCGAAAGCGGCGCACUGGAUCUCUUCUGACGCUGAGGCGCGAAAGCUAGGGGAGCAAACGGGG
rnacentral:rRNA from 1 species